rnacentral:rRNA from 1 species
AGAGUUUGAUCCUGGCUCAGGAUGAACGCUGGCGGCGUGCUUAACACAUGCAAGUCGAACGGGAUCCAUCAGGCUUUGCUUGGUGGUGAGAGUGGCGAACGGGUGAGUAAUGCGUGACCGACCUGCCCCAUACACCGGAAUAGCUCCUGGAAACGGGUGGUAAUGCCGGAUGCUCCGACUCCUCGCAUGGGGUGUCGGGAAAGAUUUCAUCGGUAUGGGAUGGGGUCGCGUCCUAUCAGGUAGUCGGCGGGGUAACGGCCCACCGAGCCUACGACGGGUAGCCGGCCUGAGAGGGCGACCGGCCACAUUGGGACUGAGAUACUGGCCCAGACUCCUACGGGAGGCAGCAGUGGGGAAUAUUGCACAAUGGGCGCAAGCCUGAUGCAGCGACGCCGCGUGCGGGAUGACGGCCUUCGGGUUGUAAACCGCUUUUGAUCGGGAGCAAGCCUUCGGGUGAGUGUACCUUUCGAAUAAGCACCGGCUUACUACGUGCCAGCAGCCGCGGU